rnacentral:rRNA from 1 species
CCUACGGGGGGCAGCAGUGGGGAAUAUUGGACAAUGGGGGGAACCCUGAUCCAGCCAUGCCGCGUGUGUGAAGAAGGCCCUCGGGUUGUAAAGCACUUUCAGUGAGGAAGAACGCCUGGUGGUUAAUACCCAUCAGGAAAGACAUCACUCACAGAAGAAGCACCGGCUAACUCCGUGCCAGCAGCCGCGGUAAUACGGAGGGUGCGAGCGUUAAUCGGAAUUACUGGGCGUAAAGCGCGCGUAGGUGGCUUGAUAAGCCGGUUGUGAAAGCCCCGGGCUCAACCUGGGAACGGCAUCCGGAACUGUCAAGCUAGAAUGCAGGAGAGGAAGGUAGAAUUCCCGGUGUAGCGGUGAAAUGCGUAGAGAUCGGGAGGAAUACCAGUGGCGAAGGCGGCCUUCUGGACUGACACUGACACUGAGGUGCGAAAGCGUGGGUAGCAAACAGGAUUAGAUACCCGAGUAGUC